rnacentral:rRNA from 1 species
AUCUACGGCCAUGCCACCCUGAACAAGCCCGAUCCCAUCUGAUCUCGGAAGCUAAGCAAGGUUGGACCUGGUUAGUGCUUGUAUGGGAGACCACCUAGGAAGACCAGGUGCUUUAGGCA